rnacentral:misc_RNA from 1 species
GGUGUCUUUCCUUGUUCAUAAAUGCAAGGAGGCUGAUGAGCAAGUUAGCUCUUCUAGGGAAGAGUAUGGAUCCAAGGUGGAGGAAUUGAUAGAAUUGCAGGAAAGGAUGAAUCAGUUAUCUGACUUGAAACUUCAGCAUGAAACUGAAAUCCUUCUCUUCAAAGAAAAAUCAAGCCAGGUUGAGGAAGCCCUUUUCAGUAUGCAAUCUGAAUUACAGGAGAAAGUGCGUGAAGUUGAACAGUCAGAGCAGAGAGUAUCUUCAAUUAGAGAGAAGCUU